GAUCAUGGCUCAGAUUGAACGCUGGCGGCAGGCCUAACACAUGCAAGUCGAGCGGCAUCGGGAAGGUAGCUUGCUAUCUUUGCCGGCGAGCGGCGGACGGGUGAGUAAAGUCUGGGGAUCUGCCUGAUGGAGGGGGAUAACUACUGGAAACGGUAGCUAAUACCGCAUGAUGUUACGCGACCAAAGCGGGGGACCUCCGGGCCUCGCGCCAUCAGAUGAACCCAGAUGGGAUUAGCUAGUAGGAGAGGUAAUGGCUCCCCUAGGCGACGAUCCCUAGCUGGUCUGAGAGGAUAACCAGCCACACUGGAACUGAGAGACGGUCCAGACUCCUACGGGAGGCAGCAGUGGGGAAUAUUGCACAAUGGGCGCAAGCCUGAUGCAGCCAUUGCCGCGUUGUGUGAA
rnacentral:rRNA from 1 species